UACGUAGGGUGCGAGCGUUGUCCGGAAUUACUGGGCGUAAAGAGCUCGUAGGUGGUUUGUCGCGUUGUUCGUGAAAACCGGGGGCUUAACCCUCGGCGUGCGGGCGAUACGGGCAGGCUUGAAUUCGGGAGAGGGAUGCGGAAUUCCAGGUGUAGCGGUGAGAUGCGUAGAUAUCUGGAGGAACACCGGUGGCGAAGGCGGCAUCCUGGACCGAGAUUGACGCUGAUGCGCGAAAGCCAGGGGAGCAAACGGG
rnacentral:rRNA from 1 species